GAUGAACGCUGGCGGCGUGCUUAACACAUGCAAGUCGAACGGUGAAGGCGGAACUUGCUCUGCUGGAUCAUUGGCGCACGGGUGAGUAACACGUGAGCAAUCUGCCCCUGACUCUCUGAUAUGCGCUGGAAACGGCGUCUCUUACUGGAUACGAUCUGCUAAGGCAUCUUCAGCAGCUGGGAAGAAUUUCGGUCAGGUCUGGUCUCGCUGCCUAUCAGCUUGUUGGUGAGGUAAUGGCUCACCAAGGCUUCGACGGGUAGCCGGCCUGAGAGGGUGAACGGCCACACGGGGACUGAGACACGGCCCAGAAGCCUACGGGAGGCAGCAGUGGGGAAUAUUGCAGAAUGGGCGAAAGCCUGAUGCAGCAACGCCGCGUGAGGGACGACGGCCUUCGGGUUGUAAACAUAUGUUAGCAGGGAAGAAGAGAAAGUGACGGUACCUGCAGAAAAAGCGACGGCUAACUACGUG
rnacentral:rRNA from 1 species